AGAAUUGUGCCACGUGUCCAAGCGUUGCGUUUCAUUUAAUCGAAGGUUUAAUGGAUUUGGGUUUCAAUUUGUAUACAGGUUUUAUGUUCAGAAUGGACCCAAACAAAAUAAAGAGCAACUCGAUAUGUAAUGAAACGCAACGUUUUUGAUUUAGGGAUUAACCCAUUCUUCGUCUCCGCCAUACGAGAGCUAAACUCGAUCUAUGGUUUCGAAAGAGUUCUUUCAUCUUCUUCCUAAAAAUUCUGAGAGUCAAUCAGUUACAGGUUCAUCUUCUUAAAGUCAGUUGCUUAAAUCCAUGACCCACAAUCUCUCUUCAAUGCAAUCAUUAAUAUGGGAGGCGGUGGAAUUGCGACAAUAAAAAGAUCGGACACUGCUCCUCCACCUUAAAGUGCGGUUUCUCCAUUAUUGGGAGGCUAGAAACGUCCGACGCGGUGGAGAACUCAUGGGAGUCGAUAUGUUGCGACUUGAUUCCCAGAAAGUUGGAUUCAGGCCCAGAAAGAUUGAUUCAUGGCUGAUUGAGUAGUAUAUUGCAUGUUUCUUUUGUUCUUUCAAGCUGAGACUUAACGAAGAAGAACAAGAAAAAUAAGAGUAAAAGCAUGAAGACGGCCCAACAAUCCCUGUCGUUAAGCUUUUUCCAUCUGGAGAGUUUCCUGAAGCAAUUUGUGGAGAACAACAUCCGAAGAGGAGAGAGAUUUGGAGCGUUUGGAGAAAGCCAAUAUACAACUCUGUACGCUAGGCUGCAGAAGUUCAUAGCGAGGUUAGAAAAUAUGUAAGAAGCAUAGUGAAGCCUGGAAUGUUGAUGACUGAUGUAUGCGAGACACUUGAGGAUAUUGUUUGUAAACUUAUAUCAGAGAAUGGUCUGAAAGCUGGUAUUGCUUUCCCUACAGGGUGCUCUUUGAAUUGGGUUGCUGCUCAUUGGACACCAAACUCCGGAGACAAGACUGUACUUCAAUACGACGAUGUUAUGAAAGUGGAUUUUGCAACACAUAUCGAUGGGGACAUCUCUCUGUAUGUGGGCUAUAUAUUAUAUUCUCAUACUGCGCCUUUUGUUUUUUUCUGUUUGAUUUAGUGAUUAGUGGUGGGAACUAUUUUCUAAGGUAUCAUUGCAGUUUUCUAAAAUCUGCUAGCCAUAUUUAUCUUAUGAGAGUUGGUAAAUUUAGACAUUAACAAUUACUGGCAGGAGUUGUUCAAAAAAAAAAUUACUGGCAGAUAUACACUGAGUAGAGUCAUAAUUUUGUCAUGUACACUCUCUUUUGUUCGAGGUAAGAUAUUUUUUCUUAGAGGAGCUGAUGACAUAUACUAUGUCAUUUUUGGGGUCUUUGCUAAUAAUUUUGAGUGCCUGUUUUAGUGGGUAGUGUUUUUUUUUUUAGAAAUGGCUUUCAGUUCACCCAAAGCUCAUGGAAGAACCUUUAGAUGUUGCUGAAUGAUGAUUCAUAUAAUUCACCGGUGGGUCUAGACAGAAACGGAAUUGUCCUUCUGCUAUGGGAGAAUGGUACUUUAUGUGGCUCCAUAAGCCCUGACGAAUUAUUUUCUUAUGUGUCCCUUUUCUCUAAAGAGCAUCUCAGUUAAAGGCUUCUCUGAUCCAGCUCCAAUAAAAGCUCUCAGUUACACACAAUGUGUGCGCCCUAAGAAGUAAGGAAGCUGCGGUAGUUGUGUUUUGGAGUUUAAGCUAAUUCUUUUAUUUACUUGGAUAUCAGAUUUUCAAAGCUUUUGUUCACAAUAUAAUUUCUUUUUUGUUAUAUCAAUUUCCAAAAAUAAUGGCUAUAGCUAAAUAUAUCUUCUCAAAGUAACACAUA